GCUUCCUUGGUGUAGUUGGUUAUCACGUAGGUCUCAUAUAAUUUAUGAUCCAGUCGUUAGAUUGGGAUAUCCUAAGGUCAGCAGUUCGAUCCUGCUAGGGAGCA
rnacentral:tRNA from 1 species